rnacentral:rRNA from 1 species
ACGCACGUUCGAGAUGCAGUGUAUCGAUUUAAUGGUUAGAAGGGUGCGUAGGUGGUCUAAUAAGUCAGUGAUGAAAUCUCUUGCUUAACAAGGAAAUUGCCAUUGAAACUGUUAGACUUGAGAAUGGACGAGGUAGGCGGAAUUCGUAGUGUAGCGGUGAAAUGCAUAGAUAUUACGAAGAACUCCAAUAGUGUAGACUGCUUACCAGACCAUAUCUGACACUAAGGCACGAAAGUGUGGGUAUCAAACAGGAUUAGAUACCCUGGUAGUCCACACAGUAAACGAUGAAUACUAACUGUUUGCGAUAUACAGCAAGUGGUCGAGCGAAAGCGUUAAGUAUUCCACCUGGGAAGUAUGCCGGCAACGGUGAAACUCAAAGGAAUUGACGGGGGCCCGCACAAGCGGAGGAACAUGUGGUUUAAUUCGAUAAUACGCGAGGAACCUUACCCGGGCUCGAACGAUAUUUGAAUACAUCCGAAAAGAUGUAGCUAGCAAUAGCAAAUACCGAGGUGCUGCAUGGUUGUCGUCAGCUCGUGCCGUGAGGUGUCGACUUAAGUGUCAUAACGAGCGCAACCCUUACCGAUAGUUACCAUCAGAUAAUGCUGGGGACUCUAUUGGGACUGCCACCGUAAGGUGUGAGGAAGGAGAGGAUGACGUCAAAUCAGCACGGCCCUUAUGUCCGGGGCGACACACGUGUUACAAUGGGAGAAACAAAGGGUCGCUACCUGGCAACAGGAUGCUAAUCUCGAAAAUCUCUCUCAGUUCGGAUUGGAGUCUGCAACUCGACUCCAUGAAGCUGGAUUCGCUAGUAAUCGCACAUCAGCCAUGGUGCGGUGAAUACGUUCCCGGGCCUUGUACACACCGCCCGUCAAGCCAUGGAAGCUGGAAGUACCUGAAGUAUGUAACUAAAAGAGCGU